GGGGGCAACUGGAUGCCUCAGUAGCGGCGAGUGAGCGGCAAGAGCUCAGAUUUGAAAUCGUGCUUUGCGGACGAGUUGUAGAUUGCAGGUUGGAGUCUGUGUGGAAGGCGGUGUCCAAGUCCCUUGGAACAGGGCGCCCAGGAGGGUGAGAGCCCCGUGGGAUGCCGGCGGAAGCAGUGAGGCCCUUCUGACGAGUCGAGUUGUUUGGGAAU
rnacentral:rRNA from 1 species